rnacentral:misc_RNA from 1 species
UCGAAUACGGCCACACUUUGUUUAUGCUGAAACAGGCGCGAAAUUGUGUGAUUCUUUUAACCAUUUUAAAAGCACAAAGAUGCAGGCCAAGGCAACCGAAAGUAGACAGGAACCUACCCUGAAUAUGGACACAAAUGCGCGUCGCAAUUUCAUAAAAUUCCAUGCGAAACUCGGCGAGAAACCCGCAACUACAGUGAGGUUCUUUGACCACUCCGAUCGCUAUACGGUCCACGGCAGCGAUGACUGCGAACUGGUGGCCAAAAUCGUCUACAAAUCCACGGCCUUCAUUGGCGCCCUGCUGCCGGAUGACAAGAAGGAGACUCUUCAGUUCGUGUCCAUGUCCAAGGGCAACUUCGAGCGGGCUGUGCGCGAGCUGCUCUUGGUGCGCAAUUACCGGGUCGAGGUGUACGUUAAGAAUUCCAGCGAUUGGGAAAUCGAGUAUCGCGGAUCACCCGGCAAUCUGCUGCAGUUCGAGGACAUCCUGUUCUCCAAUAAGGAGGUUUUAGUCGGCAACAGCAUCAUCUCGCUGCUGGUUAAGCUCGACGCCGGUGGCCAGCGGCGUGUGGGUGUGGCCAGCGUGGAGCAGAACGACUGCAAGUUCCAGCUGCUUGAGUUCCUUGACGAUGACUUCUUCACCGAACUGGAGGCCACCGUGGUCCUGCUCGGACCAAAGGAAUGCCUGCUGCCAAGCAUUGAGGGCGACUAUAGUGCUGUGAAGACGCUGCUUGAUAGAAAUGGUGUCAUGAUUACGGUGCCCAAGAAGAGCGGCGCCAACGAUCUGCUGCAGGAUCUAAACCGUCUGUUGCGUUUCGCCAAGGGACAACAGGAGGAUGCUACGGGCUUGAAGGAACUCCAGCUUCAGCUUGCCUCCAACGCCCUGAAGACCGCCAUCAAGUACCUGGACCUGGUCAAUGACCCCGGAAAUCUGGGACACUACGAGAUCAAGCAACUGGACCUAAAGCGCUUUGUCCACUUAGAUUCUGCUGCCGUGGCUGCGUUAAACAUCAUGCCAAAGCCAGGCACUCAUCCAUCUAUGCCCUCGUACCGCUGGCAAAGCGUCUUGGGCGUGCUGGAUCAUUGCCGUACACCACAGGGACAUCGCCUGAUGGGUCAGUGGGUUAAGCAGCCACUGCGAAGCCGAGAUAUCCUCAAUGAUCGUCAUAACAUUGUCCAGUGCCUACUGGAAUCUCCGGACACAUUGGAGACUUUGAGUCUCGAUUACCUGAAGCGUAUUCCGGAUAUUCUUAUGCUAACUAAGAAGCUGAUGCGACGCAAAGCAAAUUUGCAAGAUCUAUUCCGCAUUUAUCAGGUCAUUUUGAGAACACCGAAAAUUCUUAAAGUUCUGCUUGAGCUCGAUAAUUCAACGAUAGAAAGUGUGAUCUGUGAGCCUUUUAAAAACUUCCUGAUGGAUCUGACAGGGCUCAAGCAGAUGGUCGAGCAGGUGGUUGACUUUGAGGCCAUCGAAAGGGGCGAGUAUCUGGUGAAGGCUUCGUUUGACAGCCGUCUAAUGGAGCUGCAGCAGACUAUGACGGAGCUUUAUUCGAAAAUGGAAGAGUUGCAAUUCAAAUGCACUCAGGAAUUGAAUUUAGAUGGCAAGAACCAGGUGAAGCUGGAGAGUGUGGCCAAAUUGGGACACCACUUCCGCAUCACGGUGAAAGAUGAUUCCGUGCUGCGCAAGAACAAGAACUAUCGCAUCGUGGAUGUGAUUAAGGGCGGUGUUCGCUUCACCUCCGAUAAGCUGCAGGGCUACGCCGAUGAGUUUGCCAGCUGCCGCACUCGGUACGAGGAACAGCAGCAGUCCAUUGUGGAGGAGAUCAUUCAAGUGGCUGUAGGAUAUGCUUCCCCGCUUACUUUGCUUAACAACGAGCUUGCCCAGCUCGACUGUUUGGUGAGCUUCGCUAUCGCCGCCCGCAGUGCGCCCACUCCCUAUGUGCGGCCCAAGAUGAUGGAUGAAGGUGCACGCGAAUUGGUCCUCGAGGAUGUGCGUCAUCCUUGUUUGGAGCUGCAGGAGCAUGUCAGCUUCAUAGCUAACAGUGUUGACUUUAAGAAAGAGAAGUGCAACAUGUUUAUAAUCACGGGACCCAACAUGGGUGGCAAGAGCACUUAUAUUCGCUCUGUGGGUACCGCUGUGCUAAUGGCCCAUAUCGGAGCUUUUGUACCCUGCAGCUUGGCCACGAUCAGCAUGGUGGACUCCAUUCUUGGAAGAGUGGGAGCUAGUGACAACAUCAUCAAGGGUUUGAGCACAUUUAUGGUCGAGAUGAUUGAAACAUCAGGCAUAAUAAGGACUGCCACUGACAAAUCCUUGGUAAUCAUAGACGAACUUGGACGUGGCACUUCCACGUACGAAGGUUGCGGCAUCGCCUGGUCCAUUGCUGAACAUCUGGCAAAGGAGACCAAGUGCUUCACUUUGUUCGCCACUCAUUUCCACGAGAUAACCAAGCUGGCGGAGACCCUGCCCACGGUUAAAAACUGUCAUAUGGCCGCAGUUGCGGAUGCGGAUGACUUUACUCUGCUGUAUCAAGUGCGUCCGGGGGUCAUGGAAAAAAGCUUUGGCAUUCAGGUGGCGCGAUUGGCCAAUUUUCCCGAGCAUGUCGUCCAAAACGCGCAGGAGGUGUACAAUGAGUUCGAGGACGAGCAUGUGGACAAGCAAAAGAAAGAGGAUAAGGCCCUGUUGGAAAAGAUUCAAGUGGCUAUUCAACAGCUGUCAACAGCCGGGAACAACGUGGACAUUAACGUGGAGGAUUUGACCCAGUUGGUCACCCAAUUUACGAAGGAUAUCGAACAGCUGGAUAGUGAUUACUUCAAAUCCGUGCUGGCCACUAGUGAGGCUUGAAAUGGAGGUGGCGGCAGCGACUCAUAUAGAUUAAUUUGAGGCCUGUGGGGCCUGUGAGAGAUCACGUUCGAUUACAUCGGCUGCCAGCUACCAGUGUUCCACAUUUGAUCGAUCUAUCAAUGAUAUGUGGGCCAUUAUAAUCGAAAUAAAUGGUAUGCACGAUGGAUUCGAUUCUGAGGCUGAAAUACACCGUGUUGGAGCGAUUAAAAAUGCAGCGGAGUUAACCAAACCAUUAAACUAUUACCAACUCUCUGAGUGCAACAUGCCACAACACACAUUCGCUUGUUUGAUAUGUGCAGAUUAAUUACACACACACACCAAGGAAGGAGGAAAAAUUGCUUGGAAAAACUUUUCGACGCGACAACAAAACAACGAUUUCCACUUAAACAGCAAAACAGGAGCCACGAAAAAAAGAGGGAAAACCAACCGCAGAAGUUAAUCGAAAAACGCUAAACAAAGGCCACAACAACAGCUGUGCGAGUGAGCGGGUCAGAGGGAGAGAGGUGAAGUGCCAGAGCGGGAGAGCGACAAACAAAUUAAUUUUUAUAUGACAUUAAAACGAGCGAAGCGAGGCGAUGGAAAUGGUUGAAGAGUGUGUUUAAGUGUUGAGUGGUUUGCUUUUCCGAGCAACAAAUCUCGGCGCGAAGACAAUGAGGCCUCUGCCGCGCCGCUGCCGCCACCACCGCCGCGCUGCUGCUGCUGACAGCCCCAUCAAGAAAAAGUUCCCCCAGAGAGACACAGAGAGGGAGAGUGAGCGUGACAUAUGUGCCAAGAUAAAAUUAAUGUGCCCCCCCAAAGCAGCAACAACAACUACUCAGAGCCACUGAGCGGCGCUCUCAGCGCUCAACUGUUGCUCUCUGGACGAGUGUUGCCGUGGUGCAGCCAUAUGAUAAUGAUUUUACAUGUAGCCAAAUCGGAGAGCGAGAGAGCGAAAACCUGUCUUGGCUUCCAUUGCAAGGCGCAUGCGAUUGUGAUUGGACAAAAAGUACGCCAUAUUUGAAAAUUACGCACAGUGCAUCUCGCUCGCAGGCAGCAGGCGCUGCUCCUCUAACGCAGGCAGCAAGCCAAAGUGUGCAGCGCUGCUCGCCGGAGAGCGCUCUCUCGCAAGUGAGCGAACGCUUCGCUGCGAGGGCAGUUACGCUCGCGGCCGCAGUCGUUGAAUUCAAUUCGAAUUUUGACUUCGCAGCGUUCAGACGUGUUCGGAAAAACCUGAAAACCAAUCGAGUGACAAGAGAAUACAGCCAACAAAAAUAAGAAACCUCAGUCAACUGUGGUCACCGAUCGAGAGUGUUUCGUUACGAGUGAAAAAGUGAAAUCAGAGCCAAAACACAAAUCGCUUGGCCAGCAAAUUGAAAUAGUGCUACAGAGACCAGAGAUAAAUUCUCUGCUCAAAACUACAAGUGUUAAAUCGCCGAUUUUCUUUGGAUUUACCAACGUUUGCCGACGCAUUUCUGUGGAUUAACCUCAUCGUCGCCGAAGCAAAGCUACGCAUUUGUAGCCUUGUCUCGCAACUCACGUGGAUUACCCUCGAGAAAUCACACUAAGCAA